AGAGAUAAUUGCUAAUGAAGUGGCUUUCUGUGGGGUGAAAGGCACAGUACUCCCCACAAGGAAUAUAAUCAUUUUGUAUUGCAAACAGAUACCAAUACAAAAAUUUUAAAAGAAAGGCAUAUUAUUGGGAGCAUUUUGAACUUUUAUUUGUUGUUGUUUUUUGCAUUUUGAAAUAAGGCCUUGUUAUGUAGUUUAGGCUGGCCUUGAACUCACUAGUAUCCCAGGCUGGCCUUGAACUCACUGUGAUUCCCUUACUUCACCUCCUAAGUGCUGGGAUUACAGGAUUGCUCCACCAUGCUUGGAUUUGGGGCAUUUUUUUUUUAAAGGGGAAAGAUUGUAUUUUUUGUUGUUUUUGUCAUAAUGGAUAAGAACACUAUGUGUGUGUGUGUGUGUGUGUGUGUGUGUGUGUGUGUUUGUGUGUGUAUAUAUAUAUCUCAUUCUGUAUUUCAGGGUGGACUUGAACUGCCUUUGUAGCCCAUGUUGGCCUCAAACUCACGGUGAUCCUCCUGCACCACCACACCUGAAAGCCCUGUGGUGGCCUAGUUGCACAACCCCAAUGAAGGCACUAAGAUCGGUCAGCAGAUCACGGAGUGGUGCCCAACUCCAC
rnacentral:lncRNA from 1 species